rnacentral:lncRNA from 1 species
CCAUGUUUUACUGCACGUAAGAUUACAUAGUUUGAAUGCACAAAAAGUCUCAACAUAGAACACAGAUAGUACAAUCAUUGUAAAAGAGGGCAUGCACCAACAGCCUAACACAACAAUCUGGAAAUCACAAACAUCAAUCAUGAUACAAAUUAAUGACAGCCCCCACAAAGUUAAACAGUAAAUGCUGUUGCAGCAUCUGCUGCUGGCAACCAUACACAUAGCUAGAGUCACUAAAUUAACUGGAACAGAUGGCCACAUAAAGUGCAAAAAAGAGGUUAGAGAGUACACUCGGCAACAGAAGAGAAGUAACACAACAUCAGAAAGAUUUAACCAAACAGCUGCUGUUAUUACUUGGGACCUAUGAUUCACCAUUAUCUAAAAGGUCAACAAUGGAACAGCAAAAUGCGAGCCAGAUUAUCAGUGCCAAUCUGCCAAUGCCUCCGAGUACAAGGGAACAUAAGGAAGAUAGGGCUCCAUGGAACCCUGUCCAAGAUCAUUGAUGAAAUGCACUUUCCCACUAUCAAUUUCGUAAGACAUCAGUACCUUGUCAUGCCCAUAAACCAGGAAAUUUGUGUUUUGUCGUGGGUGGAGGGUGACAAUAUGGUACUCAUGUCCCAGCCGGACAUUCUUCACAUAGAUUCACAUACCUGAUACUGUGCUCCAAGACCCACGCUUCACUGCCUUAGUCCUCGAGAACCCAGAUCGACAGUUUAUAAAGAUCAUGCUGAUCACUAUUUGCCAGAUACAAGCGCCCUCGAGACAGGUCAAUGAACCCGACAUCAACUUCCAUUAUUGGGGCGUCCUCAUCGUCUGGCAUAGGAAUAGCCCUCCAAGUAGUUCCCUCCACGUCCAGUGCCACCACCUCAGACUCGACGGCAACCAAAUGCAGAAAACCAUUGACAAAGACACUUCUAGAAUCACUCACAAUCGACACACGCCUUGGAUUUUCGACGCAUAUAUUUCAUUAUACUGUAAUAUAAUACCCAUUUGCACCUGAACUCACAAUCUGCAAAGUAUGUUAUUUAAUACCCAUUUGGACCUGAGGCAUCAGCGGGGACAGACAACAGUUAAAAGCAUCCAUCGGCAAGGUAUCCUCUUUCAGUAGGGUGGUGGUUAGAGUUGAAUAAACACAUGAAGAUCAGGCAUUGCAGCUAAAUACAGCAGGAAGUGAAACAGGCAAUUUUCUAGAUCAAAUCGACCAAAGGUUAGUUUCAGACUUGGGAUCGGAUCCGACGCUGGAACUGAAUACGACAUGGAGUGAAUCAAGCAGUUUUAUUGAUGGAAUCAAUAAAAUUUUACUUAUGAUGCUCUAAACUCCAGACUAAACAACAUCUAACAGUCUAACAGAAAAGAAUAGCUUUGCUUCACUAGUGCUGAUCAUUUCAACAUUGGCAGGAGCAAAGGAACAUAAACUCCCAUGCUCUACUGUUCACUACAAUGACGAGAGGAAUAAAACAUAUAUUCCCUCCCAUGUUUCACUGCACAUACGAUUACAUAGUUUGAAUGCACAAUAAGUUUCAACAUAGAUUAAAACAGGGCGUAUGCCUACGGCCCAACACAACAAUCUGGACAUAACAAACAUCAAUCAUGAUACAAAUUAAUGAUAGCCCCAUGAACUCAUAAAGUAAAGAUUGACUCGAAUGCUGCUAGCAAAACAUAAACAUAUAUGUUUAGUGGAGCAGGUACCGUUAUUAAGUUAACUGGAAUAGAUAGCCCCAUAAAGUGAGGUUACAAGAUACACUCGACAACAAAAGAGAAGUAACACAAUACUUGGGACCUAUGAUUCAACAUUAUCUGAAAGGUCAAGAAUAGAACAGUGAUAUGCAAGGCAGACUAUCAG